AACUACUGUAUGAUAAAUGUAGAUAAUUUUCGAUUGAGCUUUAUAAUAGUGACUAGCGGAGAAAUCGGACGAACUAACACGAAUUUGGCGCUAAUUACGUAUCGUGGACAUGGACGUAUCGUGGACAUGCGAGUGCAGAGGGGAGAACAAACAGCAUAAAACUUGUUAUUUAUGAGAAUCUGGAUUCACACGACAAGCCUACUACUGCUGCGUAUCACGAGGGCGAUGAGGAGCUGUUCGCUUGUUUCUAGGUGGUGAUGCGAGUCGGACUGCUUGAGCAUUGGCGAUUCCUACCGUUCUAUGUCUAACUUUGACCAA